UGACAGGACCCAGGGUGGUCACUGUGCAACUUCUCCAGGUGGAACUGCCUUCCCAGCUUUCUCCCUGCUUGUCAAAGGAAGGCCUUUGGCAUCAAUACAGUGGUGGUCCAGGUGCUUCCUAAUCCUUAUACCACCCAGCUACCUGCUCUAUGGAUGUGGUUGUAAGCUCCCACUCUGGGUGGUGCCAGCCUGUUUUCUUCUCCAAGAGAGAUACAGCCACCUUCCUGGCAAGAACCUCCCGGGUUCCCGAAAGGCCAACUGACUUUUCAGGGGCCAGGAAAUAGGAAAAGAGAAUUCCUUCAGGGGGCCAGGAUGGAAAUAAGCCACAAGAGGCUACACCAUUCUGGGCUGCACCUGUGAGCAUCGGCUGAUGCCCUGUCAGCGUUUCCAUGACAAACUCGUAUUUCUGGAUGCCUCUCUUCCAGCUUCAAGAGCGUGCCUUGUGAGAGUUGUAUGGGUAUUAUAUUUGUACAGUAUGCAUGCAAGCAUGUGACACACGGGAGCUCUGUGGUGGAGAGCUGUCAUGGCAAAUCCACAACCACCACACAGUACGCUUGGAGAUGAACUCGCCUGAUCUUCCCUCCCUCACCAAGAAAAAGGGUUAAAAUCCAGUGACGCAGUGACACAUCACCUGCAUCAGAACAGAAUCUUCUCAGACCAGACUGCACCUUCCCAUUCCAGAGCCUGCAGCACAGCGUCUGAACUGCCGAAUUGACUCACUUGAUUAUGGAAGUAAGAAAUCCCAGGAUCUGCCAUCUGCAAGCUGAUGAAUCAGGAAAACCAGUGGUAUUCUUCCUUCCAAGUCCAAAGGCCUAAGAACCCAAGGAGUUACUGGUGUAAGUCUGGGGUCCAAAGGCCAGAGAACCAGGAGUUUCUAUGGCCGAGGGAGAAGAUGGAGGUCCCAGCUCAAGAAGAGAGAGAAUUCACCCUUCCUCCACCUUUUGGUUCUAUUUAGGCACUCAACAGAUUGGAUGAUUGGUGCCAUUCGCAUUGGUUAGGACAAUCUUCUUUACUCAGUCUACUGAUUCAAAUGCUAAUUUCUUCCAGAAACAUCCUCACAGACCCACCAGAAAUAAUGUUUUACCAGCUGUCUGGGCAUUCGUUAGCCCAAACUGACACUUAAAUUUAAUCAUCAUGUACCCCAUCUUGAAGUAGAACAUCAGCUUUAGUUGUUUUUGCUGGUGCAGUCGGGGUCAUGAACCAUCCACCUUGAGAAUAUUGCCUUCUAAUAGCUUCCAUUCCUGGAGUUGUUAUUCUGAACACGAGUGCAGGACAUUCUCCACUGGCUCCCCCAGCUUCACUUUCCAGCCUUCUCAGCCCUGUUCUGAGAUCCAGGAGGCUGACCUGUGUGGUCUAUACCCAGAGGCUCCCUUUCUCUCUGGUUUCUGGUUGGGCUUGGCCACUGGGAGGCAUUGAUAAGAGAUGGGAAGGAAGAGGAGUUCAGGGUGUUUAUUCUGCUAGCUCCCUCCCUGCUGGGCUGAUGGCUGGUUAAAGCUCCUAUCCCAAGCCCUCUCCUAGCUGCAGCUGCCCUGGGAUCUGGUCUCUACUCCCCACUUGCCCCUUGAGCCGAGAGGUGAUAAUUAGUCCCUAUUGUUGCUGGUCCCUGGGAUUCAUUACUACCUUCCCUUGCCUCCUCACUCUUGUUGCUUACCUGACCCCUGGAAACAGCCCCUUCAUCCAGCUCUUCUCACUCCCUGGAGUGACAGGACCCACACUGAUUCAGGGCCCCCAAAUUCCACAGCAUUGUCAUUUCACUGAGUCUCGCCUUAGUGUUGUAAAGUAGAGAGGGGAGGGAGGAAGAAUUACAUUCUUAUUUAUGGAGGUUGUCACGUGAACCUUUUGAAAAUGAUUCAAAUGUCAAGGUCUAACUUGCAUUUUUACAAGUUAGAAAUAGCCACCAUUUUUGGCCAAGUAAAGGGUUUAGACAGUGGCUGAAGAACAGUGUUUCUGAAAAGCUGAGUGAAAAUGAAUCCACAGCUUGUCACUAUCGUGACCUAACUACGGGACUACAACAACAAGGCAGGAACCACUAAAAUGCAGGGUGGGGCUUUGCUGCACGACCCAGCCCGUCUACCUGAUCUUGACCACACAACCAAAAAAAGAUAAACACCAAGCACAUUCUACAGCAAGACUGAGUCAGUGAUCAACAUUUGAGGGAUGCUGGAAAAGCCUCUCAACCUCAA